rnacentral:lncRNA from 1 species
GAUAAAUGUUUUAUUUUGUCGUGUUUGGUAUGCAGCAUCAUUUUGAUUUUUAUUAGAUUAGUCUUUUCUUUUGACUUCUUUUCUUGCAGGCUCUUUCUGAAGGCAACAUUAUAAGGCUUCAAAAAUAGCACAGUGAGCCAAGAGAAACUGCAAAGACACCGCUGUGGGAUGGUGAUUUGGAUAUAAAAUUCUCUGAGCCAGGUGACAUGUUUAUGACUAACUCACGUCAGACUUACUCAUUUAGUAUUGGCACUAUUUCAAGUAAAAAAGAAUUCUCUUUUUCUAAUCUUUCAGAAGAUAUUAUUAAUUUAAAAGAUAGCUAAAAGGUGCCAUGAGGUUGAGGACAAAAGCAGAUGGCAUAUUCCAGUGUGUGUUUCUGUCCCCUGACAUGGAAUGGUCAGUGGAAAUCCUGUGAUUAUUUUUUGCAGGGUAUGAUAAGCUGUUGGACCAUCUUAGACAACCAUCUAGACCCUGGAGCCAUUGUAGUUUGGAUUCCCAUGACCUCAGGUGCAUCACUGAUGAAAGAAACAAGGAGAUUCCUGAGGGGACCAGACAGAACAAAGGAUGUUUCAGAGCUACCUUUAUGUAUUAAAUACCAAGAACAAGAUGGGAUGACUUACACCUUAGAGAGACUCUUGUGGUCAUGUGACAUCGAAAAUUGGCUAGAUCUGGCAGUUAAAUGAGUUUGAUUGAAAAAAAUUAGAUAGAACUCUUUUUUCCCCUCACUACAUCAGCUGCCAAAGGCUGGGUGCUCUAAACACUCC